CAUGCCGUAAACGUUGGGCACUAGGUGUGGGGAGAACUCAACUCUCUCCGCGCCGUAGCUAACGCAUUAAGUGCCCCGCCUGGGGAGUACGGCCGCAAGGCUAAAACUCAAAGGAAUUGA
rnacentral:rRNA from 1 species